GGAAAGAACUUUGCAUAUCCAAAAAGCGGAGGAAAAGAUGUAACAAAGGAUUCCCCUAGUAACGGCGAGUGAACCGGGAAGAGCUCAAAUUUGAAAUCUGGCGUCCUCAGGGCGUCCGAGUAGUAAUCUAUAGAGGCGUUUUCCGUGCCGGUCCGUGUCCAAGUUCCUUGGAACAGGAUAUCAAAGAGGGUGACCAUCCCGUCCUAGACACGACGACCGGUGCUCUGUGCUACGUAUUGUACGAGUCGAGUUUUCGGGAAUGCAGCUCAAAAUGGGUGGUGAGUUCCAUUUAAAGGUAAAUAUUGGUGAGAGACCGAUAGCGAACAAGUACCGUGAGGGAAAGAUGAAAAGCACUUUGGAAAGAGAGAUAAACAGUACGGGAAAUGGUUGAAAGGGAAACGAUAGAAGUCAGUAGUGACCGAGAGGCUCACCCGGUUCUGCCGGUGUAUUCCCCUCGGUUGGGUCAACAUCAGUCUUGUCCGGCGGAUAAGCGCCGUAGGAAGGGGGCACCCUCGGGUGUGUUAUAGCCUGCCGUCGCAUACAUCGGGGAGAAUGAGGAACGCAGCUCGCCUUUAAGCCCGGGGUCGCUCCACGUCCGAGCUAGGAGUGACAAAGUCAGGUU
rnacentral:rRNA from 1 species